rnacentral:rRNA from 1 species
AUUGAACGCUGGCGGCAUGCUUUACACAUGCAAGUCGAACGGUAACAGGCCGCAAGGUGCUGACGAGUGGCGAACGGGUGAGUAUUGCAUCGGAACGUGCCCAGUCGUGGGGGAUAACGCAGCGAAAGCUGUGCUAAUACCGCAUACGAUCUAUGGAUGAAAGCGGGGGACCGUAAGGCCUCGCGCGAUUGGAGCGGCCGAUGUCAGAUUAGGUAGUUGGUGGGGUAAAGGCCUACCAAGCCGACGAUCUGUAGCUGGUCUGAGAGGACGACCAGCCACACUGGGACUGAGACACGGCCCAGACUCCUACGGGAGGCAGCAGUGGGGAAUUUUGGACAAUGGGCGCAAGCCUGAUCCAGCAAUGCCGCGUGCAGGAAGAAGGCCUUCGGGUUGUAAACUGCUUUUGUACGGAACGAAACGGUCUGGGUUAAUACCCCGGGCUAAUGACGGUACCGUAAGAAUAAGCACCGGCUAACUACGCGCCAGCAGCCGCCGUAAGAC